AAGCAGGUAUCUACCUCAAACCCAAUGUGAAUCUCAGGACAGGUUUGCUCAGCUUGGUGGGUGGGUUGGGAGAAGAUGCGAUGACCAAGAAGCAGAAGUGGAGCCUUAGAGUCAGGCGAGGAUGACAUUUGCUGAUGACCAUGCCAGAUGCCCACUUGAGAGCCUGGAGAGAGUAGCAUGUAGCACCCUCUGCCUGCUGAGUAGCCUGCAUAUGCCCCUGGGGUCUCUGGCUCCAGGGCCUGUGUUUAAUCUGCUAAGGAGAUGCUGGUAGCCAGAGCCAAGGCAGGCAGUCACUGGUCAGCAGAGGAUGCCCUAUGGUAAGUGGUGUUGGCAGAGGGUGAGGAAGAGGAACGGGGAUGGAUUCGAGACAACACUCAGGCAUCUAGGCUGGGGGCUGUGGUGGUGCUGGGGCCACCUGGAGCCGUGGGAAUUGGGCUGCAGGCUUGACAGGAACGGUUAUGGCGUGAUUGUGGCAGGUGGACAGUGGGUGCUGUGUUCACUUUUAGGUGUCUGUGAGAUGCUCAGGCAGAAAGGCCUUGCGGGUAGAUGAAACAUGUAUGAA
rnacentral:lncRNA from 1 species